ACUGGCAAGGAUGAUAAACACUUGCCCUCACUUAGACAAUAGUUCAUUGAUGAGAGCAUUGCUCUGAGCCAGU